rnacentral:rRNA from 1 species
CUUGCUCUUCGAUUCAGCGGCGGACGGGUGAGUAAUGCCUAGGAAUCUGCCUGGUAGUGGGGGACAACGUUUCGAAAGGAACGCUAAUACCGCAUACGUCCUACGGGAGAAAGCAGGGGACCUUCGGGCCUUGCGCUAUCAGAUGAGCCUAGGUCGGAUUAGCUAGUUGGUGAGGUAAUGGCUCACCAAGGCGACGAUCCGUAACUGGUCUGAGAGGAUGAUCAGUCACACUGGAACUGAGACACGGUCCAGACUCCUACGGGAGGCAGCAGUGGGGAAUAUUGGACAAUGGGCGAAAGCCUGAUCCAGCCAUGCCGCGUGUGUGAAGAAGGUCUUCGGAUUGUAAAGCACUUUAAGUUGGGAGGAAGGGCAUUAACCUAAUACGUUAGUGUUUUGACGUUACCGACAGAAUAAGCACCGGCUAACUCUGUGCCAGCAGCCGCGGUAAUACAGAGGGUGCAAGCGUUAAUCGGAGUUACUGGGCGUAAAGCGCGCGUAGGUGGUUUGUUAAGUUGGAUGUGAAAGCCCCGGGCUCAACCUGGGAACUGCAUCCAAAACUGGCAAGCUAGAGUACGGUAGAGGGUGGUGGAAUUUCCUGUGUAGCGGUGAAAUGCGUAGAUAUAGGAAGGAACACCAGUGGCGAAGGCGACCACCUGGACUGAUACUGACACUGAGGUGCGAAAGCGUGGGGA